UGGCUCAAACUCUCCUAGACCCAUUUAAGAGCUGACUGCCAGUAGGAAAGUGUCUCUUUUGGAGAUCCUUCUGAAGAUCCUUCCUCUGGAGUUUUGCAGUGAGCCUGGGAUGUGGUGAAUGAUAUUGAAAAGAGUUCUAUGUGAAGAUGGCAUGCAUCCAACACUGAUCUUGUUGCUUUCAUUUUCAUUCACCUUGAGUACAGAUAAGACCACAUAACACCAUCUAAGAAUUGCUGGGUUGGAGACUGAACAUGAGAGAAAGCAUUACAUUUGCGGAGUAUUUUUCAGUAGGAAACAAAUUUAUUUAAAUAAAUUUAAAAGUCACAUAAGUAUCUGUAUCCUGGGCUGCAUCCAAAGAAGCGUGGUCAGAAGGUUAAGGGACAAGGAGAAAUAAUUUCAAACUAAAGGAGGAGAGAUACAGAUUGGAUAUAAGGAAGCUUUUUACAGUAGGGGGGGAGGUGAGAGACUGGAACAAGUUGCCCAAAGGUGUGGUGGAUGCUCUACCCUUGGAGCUACUUGAGGUUAGGCUGGACUGGGUCUGAGCAAUCUGAUCUAGCUGUAGGUGUCCCUGCUCACUGCAAGAGAGUUG